AUACGGAGGGGGCUAGCGUUGUUCGGAAUUACUGGGCUUAAAGGGUGCGUAGGCGGCGCGGAAAGUUGGGUGUGAAAUACCUCGGCUCAACCGAGGAACGGCGCCCAAUACUGCCGUGCUCGAGGAAGAUAGAGGUGAGCGGAACUUAGGGUGGAGCGGUGAAAUGCGUUGAUAUCCUAAGGAACACCAGUGGCGAAAGCGGCUCACUGGAUCUUUUCUGACGCUGAGGCACGAAAGCUAGGGUAGCGAACGGGAUUAGAAACCCCAGUAGUCC
rnacentral:rRNA from 1 species